UGAGGAAUAUUGGUCAAUGGGCGAGAGCCUGAACCAGCCAAGUAGCGUGCAGGAAGACGGCCCUAUGGGUUGUAAACUGCUUUUAUAGGGGAAUAAAGUGAGCCACGUGUGGUUUUUUGCAUGUACCCUAUGAAUAAGGACCGGCUAAUUCCGUGCCAGCAGCCGCGGUAAUACGGAAGGUCCGGGCGUUAUCCGGAUUUAUUGGGUUUAAAGGGAGCGUAGGCCGGAGAUUAAGCGUGUUGUGAAAUGUAGGUGCUCAACAUCUGCACUGCAGCGCGAACUGGUUUCCUGAGUACGCAUAAAGUGGGCGGAAUUCGUGGUGUAGCGGUGAAAUGCUUAGAUAUCACGAAGAACUC
rnacentral:rRNA from 1 species